CCUACGGGAGGCAGCAGUGAGGAAUAUUGGGCAAUGGACGAGAGUCUGAACCAGCCAAGUAGCGUGAAGGAUGACUGCCCUAGGGGUUGUAAACUUAUUUUAUAUGGGAAUAAAACGAGGCACGUGUGCCUUUUUGCAUGUACUUUAUGAAUAAGGAUCGGAGAACUCUGUGCCAGCAGCCGCGGUAAUACGGAGGAUUCGAGGUUUAUCCGGAUUUAUUGGGUUUAAAGGGAGCGUAGAUGGGUUGUUAAGUCAGUUGUGAAAGUUUGCGACUCAACCGUAAAAUUGCAAUUGAUACUGGCAGUCUUGAGUACAGUUGAGGUAGGCGGAAUUCGUGGUGUAGCGGUGAAAUGCUUAGAUAUCACGAAGAACCCCGAUUGCGAAGGCAGCUUACUAAACUGUGACUGACAUUGAUGCUCGAAAGUGUGGGUAUCAAACAGGAUUAGAUACCCUUGUAGUC
rnacentral:rRNA from 1 species